UCCUUCCUUUCCUUCUCUGAGAAGGCAAGGCAGCUCACUUCUUCGUCUCUCUUUCCCCUUGAGUCAAACACGCCGCCUCCUCUCCCCUUCCCUCACAGACUCCUCGCCGUCGCUCCCUCUCUUCCCAAGCCUCGUGGUCCUCCCCCUCUCCCUGCAGCCGACGCGCGGAUCCAUCCGGGAGGAGGCACAUGAUUCGAGCAGGGCUGGUCGCCGUCAUGCGCCCGCUUCAUCGUCAUGGUUGUCCCCGUGCUCCCCAAGAAAAGGAUUGGCGAGCGGCCCAGCCCCCAGAUCACAUCCCCCGAUUCCUUCCCCUUUCCCUCAUGUACCGCACACACGGGCAACCGCUCGAGGAGAGCAGCAGCGGCUGGAUGCGGCCGCUGGCAGAGCAGCAGUGAUCGACAGGCUCAGCAGCGACCGGAAGGAGAAGCAGCAGCCGACGGCGGCGGACCAGAUCGGUUGCUGCUAUGCCCCACGCGACGGCCGUGAAUGGGGAGGAUGAGGGCGUGGUGGAUUACAUGGAGAAAGGAGGCGGCGGCGGAGCAACGGGGUGGGGACGAGGGGCGUGGGGUUGGAGAUCCUCCACGGGCUCAUCGGGCUGGUGAGGUCGCAGCUGCCGGCCACGCCGCGGAAGAUCAGGUCGUGCCUCUUCGUCAUCUGGGGCAUUCUCUGGAGCUUCUCCGAGGUGCCCGGUGUUUCCCAUAACCAGGAUACACAUCCUAGUGAGCUCCUUGGUCAUCAGGUGGGACAACACUGAGGACAAGGGCAGUUCAAAAAUUGAUAGAGACUCUUAAGGUCAUGAAGCAGAUAGUGCUCAUUAUUUCGGCCCUACAACCAGGCUUCAUACAUCUUGUUAAUGACCUUAAUGGUAAUUAUGUCAUACAGAAGUGCUUGUCAAACUUUGGUGCAGAGGAGAACAAGAAUCCUCGAUAUGGUAUGGAUUUCCUGUAAACAGAGUUUGUACCCAAAGAUGUGUUGAUGGUUCCCUAUCACAAAAGGUUUUCUAAUUUUCCUUUGUCCACACUAAUUGAUUUUAUUCAAUGUACGAUAUGGUAUGGAUUUCCUAUAAACAGCGUUUGUUCCAGUGCUACCUCAUUGCAGGAAGUUAGGCUCACUUGAUUGCCAUUGUUGUACAUGUUCUUCUAAUGCUUAAGAAAUGGAACUAAAUUGUACUGAGUCAUUCGACUACCAAAAAUAUCAAUGGCCUUUUUGUCUAUAGAAGAGGUUCUGACAUACCAGAAUUUAAAUUUAAUCAUAUAGUGUAUAAUUUGUUCGGGAAUGAUUUUAUAUGUUCAAAUCUCGUUCAGUUUGGUGGUUGUUUUAUUGUUUCUGCAGUAAGCUUUAUUAGACUCCUCAAAUUUAAUUGAGCCCAUGGUUAUGAAUUCAUAGUAUACUUGAUAUAGGGUAAUAGUGAAUGUCUUUUAGAUCAGACGAUCAGUACGUUCAAAAGAACAUCAACUGAGUGAAAGUUCAUUUCUUUAGAGCAUUUUUUUAUAAUGCGCCAUUAGGUAUUUGCCAAUUGCCUUAAUUUUUCUUUAUGCACUAGGCCCUUGGCAUUCUUAGAAGGUCGUUCCAUAAUUUCUGUGAUUCAUCCCUCUGUAUGUGGCUUGAAAUGGAGGCUUGCAUGCCCAAGGCGGGUGGUUAAAGCCCUCUUUUAUUGGUGUGGCACUGGUGAGUACAAUGCAUGAUGCAGCAGCUGGAGACGUGGCCAACAGCACUUAGGAAGCGCCCCGCCUGUGAAGUGAUACGUAUGAUGCCAACAUACCAAGAGUGCAGGUACCAACUAUCCUGCUUCAAUGAACUAUGGCUAUGAAGGAAAUUUCCUACUAGAAACAUAUGCAAUGUUUCGUUAUCUGUGUCCAUCUAACUGUCAAAAUCAUCUCUGCAAUGCAAAGUGGACUGUGUAAUACUUCUUGAAGAGGCAAUGCUUGUUAUCUGUAUGAAAGUUUCUAACUGCAUUGGCAGGAGAAAAGUUCAGUUUAUGUUAGUGUAAUCUUCAAUAUAUCAUUUUUGCUCC